GCACUGCUGAAGAGUCCCACAAUAGGACGAAACAGUCGUCCAGUGC
rfam:Schistosoma rodhaini strain Burundi genome assembly, scaffold: SROB_scaffold0001047